CACCAUCAAAGGGAGGGGGCGCAGACGACGCAGGCGAGCAGAAGCAUGGCGGAGGAGGCGGCGUCGUCCUCCUCGCUGAAGCAGCUGCGCUUGAACCGGCACGCCUUGGCCUUGUUGAUCGGCAGCAGCCGACGCAGCACCAGCUCCUGCUGCUGCUGAUGAUGAUGGCGACGAUCCCGCCACCGCCCCCCGCUGCUGCCUCCCGCCGCGGCCGGCUGGUCCGCCACCCGGCUCCACCCUUCGCCUGCCCGAUCGCCGGCUGCAGCCGGCCGCUGAACCAUCUUUUGUUUGCUAGUACGAUGGUUCAAGAACUAGCUUAUUAGCUUAUGAGAUGGUGAACGAUCCUGGGAUGAUCGAGUGGAGUGGAGAGACAUGGCCAUAUGGUGAGGCGAGGUCUAUCUAUUUAUAGGCGGCCGGGGUUGGCGUCCGCCGGCCGGCGCGGUCUCGUAUGCCAUGCCAUGUGCUGUGCCGUGGCCCAUGCUGCGAUUCUUG
rnacentral:misc_RNA from 1 species